UAUGAAAAAAAUACUAUUUGUCGAACCAAACGGGUUGUUCUUAGCUCAAUGAGCUUCCUCCUCUUUGGACGGUUCCGCCGAUUGCAGAUAUUUUCAGAAUUCUUUUGGCGCCAAAGGCAGUGAUGGAACAUUUGGCCCAAACGCUCCGCCAAUGCCUCAUCAACUCCAACCAAUACAGUCUGUGAGUAAUGGUCGGGAUUCGAUAUGAAAGAAAAAGGGAUUCUUAAUGUACAUAGCAUAUAGAUAGCCAACGAAGCGUGAGGGAUUUCAAUUUUAUGGAGUAGUGGAAGAAAGAAAUGGAGAAGUUAGUGAAGCAAAAUUGACGGUCCUCUUCAGAUUCCCAAAUCACGAGGUAUCCAAAAGCAAUUAGACAAAUAAUAUCUUGCAUCUUGCAUCUUGCAUCUUUUUAAUUUUUCUUGUGAAUUUUAUAUUAUAAAUCUCAAUCAUUGAAAUAAUCAUGUUUGACUAAUGCAACUUAAUAAAGUUUCCUGAGGGUGGGAUUUUGGGGCCCCUGCGCUGAGAUCAUGUUUCCUUUAUUCAUUAAGAAAAUUAGCGUUCCUGUGAAGGGUUAUUUGACGCUUCCACUAUUACCGAUGGAAAUUUAUAGAGAGAUUUUAAAAGAAAAGGGCUUCCUUCGUGUGAGCAUUGAAUUGUUUCUUAGUGGGUUCUGGUCCUUUUUCACGCACAAUAAUAACGACCACAUUCCGAUGAUUCUAUGGUUCCCUUUCAUGUUCUGUCUUUCUCUGUUUGGAGGUUUUAUAUGAUUUUGCAAGACUAAACCUUUUAUUUCUGUAUCAUUAAAGAGAAUAUACCACCUAAAAGUUCUAAGCGAUCAUGAACUUAGACCACAUUUAUCAAUUCAUAAUAAAAAUUAGUGUGAUCUAAUAGGAUUCUUUAUAAAUCAAUCGUAAUGGGUCAAAAUCGUAAAUCUAAUUGGAUUACUUUUAUCACAUUUACUUAGAAAUAUGAAUUUGUCACAUUUAUGAUUAUCGUUUAUAUUAUUUUAUCAUAAAUUGGAUAGUGAGUCUCAUGUGUUAGUACAAGUACAUUAGAGCCCACUUUUUAGAUUACCAUUCAUUUAUUACUUUUUUCCUAAUGUAAACAUGGCCUUAAUUCAAUUGUUAAGAAAUCUCUACUUCUUUUAGCAAGUUUGAAUCAUCUACUUCAUUCGAAAAUGAAAAACAUAAUACAACGUUUAGGUAUUUCUAGGUAAUUACUUCAAUUUUAUUAUAUAGGACCAAAACCAUAUUUGAACUUUAUUACCAUCAAUAUUAUUUAUUUUUAUCUGUUUUACUCGUUUUCCCCUAUUGAUUUAGAAUUUGGAGUAAUUGACAAGUGUUAGCUUCCCAUGAUUAUUUUAGCAAUCAGCUGAUGCCCGUGAUAAAUUUUGCGAUCUUUUAGUUGAGAUUGCUGAUGAAUUUGGAUGGUAAAUGAGGCUUCGGCAGUGGCCAGAUCGUGUAUAUUCAAAGUUCAUCCAUGUGAGAAUAUUAUAUACCUAGUUGAUGACAGAACGAGGUAUGAGUUAGGCAACAAAAGACAAGUGUAAUAUAACGUUCGAGUCCUUGGUGCUAUCUUGCACCUCCUCAUGUGAUUUAUCAGGUUGUUCAAGUGGCUUGGAGCUUCCAUUGAAGGGAUUUAUGUAGGUUCUUCUCCUUAAGAUAUGUUCUCUUGAGGUAUGUUUUGGGAUUUUUGGAAUAAGUUUGUCUGUUUUCUUUAUCUUGUUGUUCUAAUUUUUGUGAUUGUAUUUUGUCUGUGUAUUGACUUCAAGUCGUGAGAUCUCAUUGUCUUUCUUGUAAUUCAAUAUAUUUGCAAAAAAAAAGGAAAAAAAUAAUAAUAAAUAAAUAUUAGCAUCUUUGAACUUGUAGGAAAUUAGGAAUGCCAUUUCAAGAAAAUGAAUUUUUUGAUAGGAAGAUCGAGUUUUGUCUGUCAGUAUGUGUAUGCGUCCAAAUUUGUAAAUAAAAUAAAUAAUAAUUUUAUUCAUAAAAUUUAAAUAAAAAAUCCUAUUGAAUAAACGUCAUAAUGAGUUGGAGAUAUAAAACCGUGAUAUUGUCUAAUGUCUACUUUAGGCAUAAGUCUUCCUAUCUUUACUUUUUGUUCCACCCAAAAAUUCUAUAUUAAGAUGUCCCUGAUUAUAUAUCUUUGAUUUUCUCCUUAUCAAUUUAAAGUGGAUUUUUAUCGGGGUAAAAAAAUACGAAUGAAAUAAGUUUAAUUUUAAAAAAAUUUAAUUAAAAAAUUCAAAUGAUUACGAAUCGAUACGUUAUUUGGUGCUCUCCUAUCCAAGGCAGCCUAAUAGAAAUUUGGUAUACUCUGGUGAUCUCGAGGGGGUUCUCCCUAUCCAAAGGCAGCCUUUCCUUGAUGGUACUGUACAUGACUUCCAAACCCUCCUUGAACUCUCUGGUUUCCUUGGAAUUACUAUUUUUGUAUGUUAUGAAAUAAUUGGAGGAGUAGGACAGAUAUGCAGGGGCACUCUCACUCACUGCUACUUGAAAUCGCUGUUUGUUCUGAUAGAGGCCCCGUAUGUUUCUCUCUUCUUUUUCCUUUAAAAGUAUGCAAUUAUAUUCCAAGCUCUACACAAUAUUACAUGCUUCUGUCGUUUUCCCCUUUACUUUUACCCUUCUAUUUAAUUACAAGUGAAAAAUACUUUAAUUCCUUAGUCUUGUGAACGUUUUUAGGUUUUAAAAGGGUACAUUUCUACCAUUAAAUUUUACGCUUUUACUCUAGUUCUCUCCCUCGUUCUCUUUGUCUCUCUCUCUAUAUAUACAAGUUUUUUAAAUUUUCGAGAAAUGUGUUAAUGGAAUUGUUAAGAUACCGUUUGGUAAUCGUAUAAUUUUUUUUUUUUUUUUGAAAAUUAAAUUUAUUGACACUACUUUCACCUUUAAGUUUUUUAAAUUUUAUUAUCUACUUUUUACUUAUGGUUUAACAAAUCAAGCCAAAAUUUGAAAACUAAAAAAAAUUGUUUUUAAAAAUUUGUUUUUAUUUUGAAAUUUGGCUAAAAAUUCAACCAUUAUCUUUAAGAAAUAUACAAAUCAUUAUAAUAAAUGUGGACGAAAUAAGUUUUAUUUUAAAAAAUAAAUGAUUACGCCUUAAUAAAUACAAUUUUAAGAAUGAUAUGACAUGCAUCUUAUUUCUAUUCUACCUAUUAGAGAUGUGAAAUGUCGAAAAUUUUUAACACCACUGUAGUUCAUAUUCCUAUUUAAUAUUUGACACAUCAUUUAGAUGGUUUAUUAAUGUUUUUCAUUCUAGGGUCCAUCAUUCUUAAAUAUUUCUUUCUUUACAUCCGUUUCCAUAUCGCCUUUAUAUUCUCGUCCUGCCUUAACAGCUACAUUUGACAAACACUAUAUUAAAGCAUUUAUGAUUUUUAAAUGUUGCUUUAUUUCCUCCCUGACAUGAUUAAUUUUUAUUGUCAUUCAUAUUAAUUCCUUGUGUUCCCUUUUCCUGUUACAGCAAGAUUUUGGAAGAUUGGGUUCUGAAGCUGUUUUUUUUCCAAAGCAAAAAUUGCUGAUGGCUCUUCUACACAGUUGAAGUUGAGAGUUCUGUCAGCCAAUCUUAUGACCCAUAUCUUCUUGUUCUGUUUUUCAAGUCAAUCAUCAUUUACAUAAUAUUUAUUUUAAAAAAAAAAAAAAAAAAAAAGAAAACUCUCUUCAGAAAAGAAAAUGUUUUUGUUUUAUUUUUCCAUUUUGUGGACCAAUAAUAUGCUAUGCCGUUAGCUUAGAUACUAAUCCUAGAAAGAAAAAACUAAAGUAUGCACAUCCUGCUUUCGGUUAAUUCUUUAACAGUCCUUUGUGGAAUAUUAGAUUCUGAUUAUACUAUGUUUACAGCCUAUGAUA